UACGUAGGGUGCGAGCGUUGUCCGGAAUUAUUGGGCGUAAAGAGCUCGUAGGCGGCUUGUCGCGUCGGAUGUGAAAGCCCGGGGCUUAACUCCGGGUCUGCAUUCGAUACGGGCAGGCUAGAGUUCGGUAGGGGAGAUCGGAAUUCCUGGUGUAGCAGUGAAAUGCGUAGAUAUCAGAAGGAACAUCAGUGGCGAAGGCGGCUUCCUGGACCAAUACUGACGAUCAGGUGCGAAAGCGUGGGGAGCAAACAGG
rnacentral:rRNA from 1 species